rnacentral:rRNA from 1 species
UACGUAGGGGGCGAGCGUUGUCCGGAUUUAUUGGGCGUAAAGAGCGUGUAGGCGGCCAGGUAGGUCUGCUGUGAAAACUCGAGGCUCAACCUCGAGACGUCGGUUGAAACCGUCUGGCUAGAGUCCGGAAGAGGAGAGUGGAAUUCCCGGUGUAGCGGUGAAAUGCGCAGAUAUCGGGAAGAACACCCGUGGCGAAGGCGGCUCUCUGGGACGGUACUGACGCUGAGACGCGAAAGCGUGGGGAGCGAACAGG